UAAUAAUUAGGAAAUCCAGGUGUAUUUCCACCUCUACGAAGGGAGGAGUUAUAAUUGUAUAAUUAACACACCCUGUAGAAAUCUUAUACUUUAUAUUCAUCAGCACUUAUGUUCAUAUUUAAGCCGCUGCACGACGCAGGCACAGGGUUCCUUCAGAAUCCAUCAACGCGUAUUGUACUCCCGCUUGUUUAAUAAAUGUUUUUAAAAACAUCUCCACAAAAACCUCAAAAUUAACUGCCGUAGCGAUUUUUAC